CCUACGGGAGGCAGCAGUGGGGAAUAUUGGACAAUGGGGGCAACCCUGAUCCAGCCAUGCCGCGUGUGUGAAGAAGGCCCUCGGGUUGUAAAGCACUUUCAGUGAGGAAGAACGCCUGGUGCUUAAUACCCAUCAGGAAAGACAUCACUCACAGAAGAAGCACCGGCUAACUCCGUGCCAGCAGCCGCGGUAAUACGGAGGGUGCGAGCGUUAAUCGGAAUUACUGGGCGUAAAGCGCGCGUAGGUGGCUUGAUAAGCCGGUUGUGAAAGCCCCGGGCUCAACCUGGGAACGGCAUCCGGAACUGUCAAGCUAGAGUGCAGGAGAGGAAGGUAGAAUUCCCGGUGUAGCGGUGAAAUGCGUAGAGAUCGGGAGGAAUACCAGUGGCGAAGGCGGCCUUCUGGACUGACACUGACACUGAGGUGCGAAAGCGUGGGUAGCAAACAGGAUUAGAUACCCGAGUAGUC
rnacentral:rRNA from 1 species